ACCGCUGUUCGGCUAUCUGAGCUAAGAUCAUGUGUAAUAUUCGCCCUUUGUAGUCCAGCUUAUGCAGCAGUACAUAAUUUGUGAUCAAUGAAAUUACCCUCAUUUUUUCAUUUGAGACGGAUGCUGUGAGCUUGCCCAACCCUACCGUCAAGUCAACAUCGCUUUGCAUUAUCUCGAGGAGUAGCCCAUUAUUC
rnacentral:snRNA from 1 species